GACGAACGCUGGCGGCGUGCUUAACACAUGCAAGUCGAACGGAAAGGCCCCUUUGGGGGUACUCGAGUGGCGAACGGGUGAGUAACACGUGAGUAACCUGCCCUUGACUUCGGGAUAACUUCAGGAAACUGGGGCUAAUACCGGAUAGGAAUCCUUGCUGCAUGGUGGGGGUUGGAAAGCUUCGGCGGUUUUGGAUGGACUCGCGGCUUAUCAGCUUGUUGGUGGGGUAGUGGCUUACCAAGGCUUUGACGGGUAGCCGGCCUGAGAGGGCGACCGGCCACAGUGGGACUGGGAUACGGCCCAGACUCCUACGGGAGGCAGCAGUGGGGAAGAUUGCACAAUGGGCGGGAGCCUGAUGCAGCAACGCCGCGUGCGGGAUGACGGCCUUCGGGUUGUAAACCGCUUUCAGCAGGGGCGAAGCUUGUGGUGACGGUACCUGCAGAAGAAGCACCGGCUAACUACGUG
rnacentral:rRNA from 1 species